rnacentral:rRNA from 2 species
GGACUACCAGGGUUUCUAAUCCUGUUUGAUCCCCACGCUUUCGUGCCUCAGUGUCAAUACCACCAUAGUAAGCUGCCUUCGCAAUUGGUGUUCUGUGACAUAUCUAUGCAUUUCACCGCUACUUGUCACAUUCCGCCUACCUCUAGUGGAUUCAAGCUCUUCAGUAUCAAGGGCACUGCGACAGUUAAGCUGCCGUCUUUCACCCCUGACUUAAAAAGCCACCUACGCACCCUUUAAACCCAAUAAAUCCGGAUAACGCUUGGAUCCUCCGUAUUACCGCGGCGGCUGGCAC